CACGUAGGCACCAAGCGUUGUCCGGAUUUAUUGGGCGUAAAGAGCUCGUAGGCGGUUCGGUAAGUCGGAUGUGAAAACUUUGGGCUCAACCCAAAGCGUGCAUUCGAUACUGCCGUGACUUGAGUUCGGUAGGGGAGUGGGGAAUUCCUAGUGUAGCGGUGAAAUGCGUAGAUAUUAGGAGGAACACCGGUGGCGAAGGCGCCACUCUGGGCCGAAACUGACGCUGAGGAGCGAAAGCGUGGGUAGCAAACAGG
rnacentral:rRNA from 1 species